CGUUGUCCGGAAUUAUUGGGCGUAAAGAGCUUGUAGGCGGUUUGUCGCGUCUGCUGUGAAAUUUCGGGGCUCAACCCCGAACUUGCAGUGGGUACGGGCAGACUAGAGUGUGGUAGGGGAGACUGGAAUUCCUGGUGUAGCGGUGAAAUGCGCAGAUAUCAGGAGGAACACCGAUGGCGAAGGCAGGUCUCUGGGCCACUACUGACGCUGAGAAGCGAAAGCAUGGGGAGCGAACAGG
rnacentral:rRNA from 1 species